rnacentral:lncRNA from 1 species
UGAUUUAUGUAGUUCAUUGGAACAGGAAGAAAUGGAUUUAUCUGUGGAUCAUGUUGAGGAAGUACAAAAUGUCCUUAAUGCUAUGCAGAAAAUCUUAGAGUGUCCAAUAUGUCUGGAGUUGAUCAGAGAGCCUGUCUCUACAAAGUGUGACCACAUAUUUUGCAAAUUUUGUAUGCUGAAACUUCUCAACCAGAAGAAAGGGCCUUCACAAUGUCCUUUGUGUAAGAAUGAUAUAACCAAAAGAAGCCUACAAGAAAGUACAAGAUUUAGUCAACUUGUUGAAGAGCUGUUGAAGAUCAUUCAUGCUUUUGAGCUUGACACAGGAUUGCAGUUUGCAAACAGCUAUAACUUUUCGAGAAAGGAAAAUAAGUCUCCUGAGCAUCUGAAGGAGGAAGUUUCUAUCAUCCAAAGUAUGGGCUACCGGAACCGGGCCAAAAGACUUUGGCAGAGUGAACCUGAAAAUCCUACCUUGCAGGAAACUGGUCUUACUGUCGAACUCUCUAACCUUGGAAUUGUGAGAUCUCUGAGGACAAAGCAGCAGAUACAAUCUCAGAAUAAGUCCGUCUACAUUGAAUUGGGAUCUGAUUCUUCUGAAGACACAGUUAAUAAGGCCAGUUACUUCAGUGUGGGAGAACAUGAAUUGUUAGAGAUCACCCCUCAAGGAGCCAAGGCAGAGACCAAUUUGAAUCCUGCAAAAAAGGCUGCUUGUGAGUUUUCUGAGAAGGACAUAACAAAUACUGAACAUCAUCAGUUCAGUAUUAAAGAUCUGAUCACCACCCAUAAGCAUGCAACUGAGACGCAUCCAGAAAACUAUCAGGGUAUUUCUGUUUCAAACUUUCACGUGGAGCCAUGUGGCACAGAUACUCAUGCCAGCUCAUUACAGCAUGAGAACAGCAGUUUAUUGCUCACUGAAAACAGACUGAAUGUAGAAAAGGCUGAAUUCUGUAAUGAAAGCAAACAGCCUGUCUUAGGAAAGAGCCAACAGAGCAGAUGGGCUGAAAGUAAGGGCACAUGUAAGGAUAGGCAGAUUCCCAGCACUGGGAAAAAGAUAGUUCUGAAUGCUGAUCCCCUGUACAGAAGAAAAGAACUGCAUAAGCAGAAACCUGCAUGCCCUAACAGUCCUGGAGAUUCCCAAGAUGUUCCUUGGGUAACCCUGAAUAAUAGCAUACAGAAAGUUAAUGAAUGGUUUUCCAGAAGUGAUGAAAUAUUAACUUCUGAUGACUCAUGCAAUGGUGGGUCUGAAUCAAAUAAUGAAGUAGCUGGUGCAGUGGAAAUUCCAAAUAAAGUUGAUGGAUAUUCAGGUUCUUCAGAGAAAAUCGACUUAAUGGCCAGUGAUCCUCAUGGUGCUUUAAUACAUGAAAGAGUCCACUCCAAACCAGUAGAGAGUAAUAUUGAAGAUAAAAUAUUUGGGAAAACCUAUCGGAGGAAGUCAAGUUUCCCUAACUUCAGCCACGUAGCUGAAGAUCUAAUUAUAGGCGCAUUUACUGUAGAACCUCAGAUAACACAAGAGCAGCCCCUCACAAAUAAACUAAAGUGUAAAAGGAGAGGUACAUCAGGCCUUCAGCCUGAGGAUUUUAUCAAGAAAGUCGAUUUGACAAUUGUUCCAAAGACUCCUGAAAAGAUGAUUGAGGGAACUGAUCAAACAGAGCAGAAAGGUCAUGGGAUGAAUAUUACUAGUGAUGGUCAUGAGAAUAAAACAAAACGUGAUUAUGUUCAGAAAGAGCAAAACGCUAACCCAACAGAAUCAUUGGGAAAAGAAUCUGUUUUCAGAACUAAGGCUGAACCUAUAAGCGUCAGUGUAAGCAAUAUGGAACUAGAAUUGAAUAUCCACGGUUCAAAAGCACCUAAGAAUAGGCUGAAGAGGAAGUCCUCUACCAGGAAAAUUCCUGAACUUGAACUAGUAGUCAGUAGAAACCCAAGUCCACCUAAUCAUACUGAGCUACCAAUUGAUAGCUGUUCUAGCAGUGAAGAGAUGAAGAAAAAACAUUCUAGCCAAAUGCCAGUCAGGCAGGGCCAAAAGCUUCAACUCAUGGGAGAUAAAGAACCUAUAGCUGGAGCCAAGAAGAGUAACAAAGCAUAUGAACAAAUAAAUAAAAGACUUGGUAGUGAUGCCUUUCCAGAAAUAAAUUCAGCAAACACACCUGGUUAUUUUACUAACUGUUCUAGUUCUAAUAAACUUGAAGAGUUUGUUCAUCCUAGCGUUCAAAGAGAGGAGAAUCUAGGAACAAUUCAAGUGUCAAAUAGUACCAAAGACCCCAAAGAUCUGAUAUUAAGAGGAGGAAAAGCUUUGCAAAUUGAAAGAUCUGUAGAGAGUACCAAUAUUUCCUUGGUUCCUGAUACUGAUUAUAGCACUCAGGAUAGUAUCUCAUUACUGGAAGCUAACACCCCAGAGAAGGCAAAGACUGCACCAAAUCCUUGUGUGAGUCUGUGUGCAGCAAUCGAAAACCCCAAGGAACUUAUCCAUGGGGAUUUUAAAGGUACCAAAAACGACACAGAGGGCUUUCAGGAUCUACUGGGACAUGACGUUAACUGCGUCAUUCAGGAGACAAGCGGAGAAAUGGAAGACAGUGAACUUGAUACACAGUAUUUGCAGAAUACGUUCAAGGUUUCAAAGCGUCAGACAUUUGCUCUGUUUUCAAAUCCAGGAAAUCCACAAAAGGAAUGUACCACAGUCUUUGCCCACUCGGGGUCCUUAAGGGAUCAAAGUCCAAGAGACCCCCUCAAAUGCAGGCAAAAAGAAGACAGUCGGGGAAAGAAUGAGUCUAAAAGCCAGCAUGUGCAGGCCAUUUGUACAACAGUGCACUUUCCUGUGGCUGGUCAGAAAGAUAGGACGCUGGGUGACGAUGCCAAAUGUAGUGGAAAAGAAGUAACUAGGCUUUGUCAGUCAUCACAGUUGAGAGGCCACAAAACUGAACUUGUUUUUGCAAAUAAACAUGGGAUUUCAGAAAAAACAUUUCUUAUACCAUCACUUUCUCCCAUCAAGUCAUCUGUUAAAACCGUAUGUAAGAAAAGCCCAUCAGAGAAGUUUGAGGAACCUGUAAUGUCACCUGAAAGAACGCGGGGAAGUGAGAGCAUCAUUCAAAGUGCAGUGAGCACAGUCAGUCAAAAUAACAUUCAAGAAAGCACUUUUAAAGAAGUCAGCUCAAGCAGUGUUAAUGAAGUAGGUUCCAGUACUAAUGAAGUAGGCUCUAGUAUUAAUGAAGUAGGUUCCAGUGGUGAAAACAUUCAAGCAGAACCAGGUAGAAACAGAGAACCUAAAUUAAGAGCUUUACUCAAAUUAGGUCUUAUGCAACCUGAAGUCUAUAAGCAAAGUCUUCCUGUAAGUAACUGUCACCAUCCUGAAAUAAAAAGGCAAGGAGAAAAUGAGGACAUGCUUCAGGCUGUUAAGGCAGAUUUCUCCCCAUGUCUAAUUUCAGAUAAUCUCGAACAACCUAUGGGAAGCUGUCAUGCUUCUCAGGUUUGUUCUGAGACACCUGACAACUUGUUGAAUGAUGAUGAAAUAAAAGAAAAUAGCCACUUUGCUGAAAGUGACAUUAAGGAAAGAUCUGCUGUUUUUAGUGAAAGUAUCCAAAAAGGAGAAUUCAGAGGGAGCCCUGACCCUUUCACCCAUACACAUUUGGCUCAGGAUCACCAAAGAGGGGCUGGAAAACUGGAGUCAGAAGAGAUUGUGUCUAGUGAGGAUGAAGAGCUUCCCUGCUUCCAACAAUUAUUGUUUGGUAAAGUAACCAAUACACUGUCUCCAUCUACCGGACGUAACACUGUUGCCAGUGAGGGUCUGUCUAAGGAAACAGAGGAGAACCUAGAAUCAUUGAAGAGUGGCUUAAAUGACUGCAGUGGCCAGGUAACAUCAGCCAAGGCGUCCCAGGAACAUCACCUUAAUGAGGAAGCGAGAUGUUCUAGUAGCUUAUUUUCCUCACAGUGCAGUGCAGUGGAAGACUUGACCACUAAUACAAACACCCAGGAUCCUUUCUUGAUGUUUGAGCAUCCUUCCAAACAAGUGUAUCAGUCUGAAAGCGAGGAAUUUCUGAGUGACAAGGAAUUGGUUUCAGAUGAUGAAGAAAGGGAAACCGGCUUGGAAGAAGAUAGUUGCCAAGAAGAGCAGAGUGUGGAUUCAGACUUAGGUGAAGCAGCAUCCAACCAUGUGAGUGAAACAAGCCUCUCUGAAGACUCUGUGGGGCUGUCUUCUCAGAGUGAUAUCUUAACCACUCAGCAGAGGGAUACCAUGCAAGAUAACCUACUAAAGCUCCAGCAGGAAAUGGCCGAGCUGGAAGCUGUGUUAGAGCGGCACGGGAGCCAGCCUUCCCACAGCUCUGCUUCCCUCACAGCUGAUUCUCGUGGCCCAGAGCACCUGCUAAAUCCAGAGCAAAACACAUCAGAAAGAGCAAUAUUAACUUCAGAGAAAAGUAGAGACUAUUCUAGAAGCCAGAAUCCUGAAAGCCUCUCUGCUGACAAGUUUCCAGUAUCUCUGGAUAGUUCUACCAAUAAAAAUAAAGAACCAGGAAUGGAAGGGUCUUCCCCUUCUAAAUUCCAGUUGUCGGAUAAUAGGUGGUAUGUGCACAGCCACUCAAGGAGUCUUCAGGACAGAAACUGCCCAUCUCAAAAGGUGCCCAUUAAUGUUGCUGACAUGGAGGAGCAACAGCUGGCUAAGUAUGAGGCCCAAGAUUUAAUGGGGUCUUAUUUGCCAAGACAAGAUCAAGAAGGAACCCCUUACCUGAAAUCUGGAAUCAGCCUCUUCUCUCAUGACCUCGAGUCUGAUCCCUCUGAAGACAGAGCCCCAGAGCCAGCUCAUGUUCACUGCAUGCCACCCUCUGCCUCUGCCUCUGCACCGAAAUUAUCCCAAUUUCGAGUAGAAGAAUCUACCAAGAAUCCAGCUGCUGCUCACAUUACUAAUACUACAGGGUGUAACCUGAGGGAAGAAAGUGUGAGCAAAGAGAAGCCAGAAGUGAUAUCUUCAACAGAAAGAAGCAACAAAAGACUUUCUAUGGUGGCAUCAGGCUUGACCCCAAAAGAACUCAUGCUUGUGCAGAAAUUUGCCAGAAAACAUCACAUCACUUUAACUAAUCUAAUUACUGAAGAGACUACUCAUGUCAUUAUGAAAACAGAUCCUGAGUUUGUGUGUGAACGGACACUGAAAUAUUUUCUGGGAAUUGCAGGAGGAAAAUGGGUAGUUAGCUAUUUUUGGGUCACCCAGUCUAUUAAAGAAAGAAAGAUGCUGGAUGAGCAUGAUUUUGAAGUCAGAGGAGAUGUUGUCAAUGGAAGAAACCAUCAAGGCCCAAAGCGAGCAAGAGAAUCCCAAGACAAGAAGAUCUUCAAAGGCCUAGAGAUCUGUUGCUAUGGACCUUUUACCAAUAUGCCCACAGAUCAACUAGAGUGGAUGGUGCAGCUGUGUGGGGCUUCUGUGGUGAAGGAGCCCUCGUCAUUCACCCCAGGCCAGGGUACUCACCCAGUUGUGGUCGUGCAGCCGGAUGCCUGGACAGAGGAUGCUGGCUUCCGUGUGAUCGGGCAGAUGUGUGAAGCACCUGUGGUAACCCGAGAGUGGGUACUGGACAGUGUGGCCCUCUACCAUUGCCAGGAGCUGGACACCUACCUGGUCCCCCAGGUCGCCCAGAGCUGCUGCUGA